rnacentral:rRNA from 1 species
GAUGAACGCUGGCGGCGUGCCUAAUACCUGCAAGUCGAGCGAAGCGGGGCCGGGUGAGUAACCCGUGGAUAACCUCCUAUAAGACUGGGCUAACUUCGGGAAACCGGAGCUCACCCGGAUACUUUUCGAUGGAUCCGCGCUGCAUUAGCUAGUUGGUAAGGUAACGGCUUACCAAGGCAACGAUGCAUAGCCGACCUGAGAGGGUGAUCGGCCACACUGGAAGUGAGACACGGUCCAGACUCCUACGGGAGGCAGGAGUAGGGAAUCUGCCGAAAUGGGCGAAAGCCUGACGGAGCAACGCCGCGUGAGUGAUGAAGGUCUUCGGAUCGUAAAACUCUGUUAUUAGGGAAGCGGUACCUAAUCAGAAAGCCACGGCUAACUACGUGCCAGCAGCCGCGGUAAUAC